UACGUAGGGUGCAAGCGUUGUCCGGAAUUAUUGGGCGUAAAGAGCUCGUAGGCGGUUUGUCGCGUCUGCCGUGAAAGUCCGGGGCUCAACUCCGGAUCUGCGGUGGGUACGGGCAGACUAGAGUGAUGUAGGGGAGACUGGAAUUCCUGGUGUAGCGGUGAAAUGCGCAGAUAUCAGGAGGAACACCGGUGGCGAAGGCGGGUCUCUGGGCCGAAAUUGACGCUGAGGAGCGAAAGCGUGGGGAGCAAACAGG
rnacentral:rRNA from 1 species